AUGGUGGCCCCCGCCCUCCACACUGGCGGGCUGGGCUGGGCUGCCUUUCCAGUCACCAGCUCUCUGUUCCCUUCCUUCCUGAGAAAGGGGAAGUUGGACCGUGGCCAGAGACCAGGAUUCCGAGCAGGGCUCUGUGGUCCUGGCCUCUCAGGGGCAGGAGGCAAGGCCAGGUGGGCCCUCAGCCGCUGGGCCCUGCCCCGGCCCCACAGGCCCUCGCUGUCCCUGAGUAGCAGGGCUGACGACACCGCCUGCGGCCGCCCGUCACCCACUGCAAAUCUGACUGGUGUCGUCAGGACGGCCCCAGGGGCAGGAGGGACCAGGAGCCCAGCAGCAUCGUCCAGGCUGGUCCUGUCACCCUGCUCCGGGGCCGUCCUGAUGACACCGGUCAGAGCUGUCCACUGCCUCCUGGCUCCCAGUCCACCCUCUAAUGCGCCCCGCCUGCCCCUCCCAUCAAGCACCCCCGCCCACUGCCCGCCUGCCGGACACACGCCUCUGCAGACCUGCCUGCAGACACCCCGGCUGGCACGGCCGCCUUCCUCCUAUGCUUGGUGGGGCCUCCCAGACCUCUGGGCCCUCCUCCAUGCCUCCCUAGGCAGCAGCGCCCACCAGGUGCCGACCAGGGCCCCACGCCUCCCUCGGUCCUGUCAGUUCAGUCGGUGAGCUCUGAGCUCCAGGAGGGUGGGAACCAUGCCUUGAUUGCCCAGGUCUCGCUCGCAGAGGUGGUGUUGGGCAGGCAGGGCUGUGAUCUCAGCUGACCUCCUGCACGUCCAGCCCGCCCCUCGCCCCUCAGAGUGUGGUCUCCACCGAGAGACCAAGAGCUGGCUUGUGGGGAGGGUCCUGGGGGAUUGUAGGGCAAGAGCUCUGGGAGGAGGCCUCCCUGCAAACUCCUACGACCCGCCCCACCCCAGCCUGGCUGACCCACUCUGGGCAGCGGCUCUCCCUCGACUGGCCCACGGUCCACAGGGCUCCUGGGUGCCCUGAGAACAGGGUGGGGUCUGCAGAGGUCCCGGUGGGCCCAGGGCCUGGCGCAGUGCAGAGCAAGCCGGAAACGCUGGUCCGAGGUUGGCCUCUGGGUGGACGUUGCCAUGGGGCCCAGUAGCCCCGGCUCUCUCCCUGCACCCCAAGCUCAGGCAGGUGACACCCCUGUGCCUGGCACGUGGCCUUGCUGGGGAACUGGGUGAGGGCCAGUGGCGAGGGGAGCAUGGGAGAAGGGGCAGCAGGAAGCCCGAGGUGCCUGUGGGAAUGGGGGGUUGUGGCACCUGUUGAGGGGUUCCCAGAGGGCUGGCAGGGGCCGUGGUGUAGACAGAGGCAGCAGCAACGCCCAGGGUCUGGGGGCAGAGCGGAAGGGGACCCAGCUCUGCCCUGGGCUGUGGGGCCUGGGAGCUGGAGAAGAGAGCUAGGCUGGGAGGGGCCCUGGGCCAGGGGGGAGGGGGGUCACCCCAUCCCCUAUGGUGCCCAGAUGAGGCUCCCUGGCCCGGGUGGCCGCAGCAGAGAGCCCGGUGAGGGCCUGCAUGUCUGUCCAUCCAUCCUGUCCCGACCCCAACCCCAGGGCCCUGGGAGUGUGUCACACAGCCCAGGCCUCUGUGUCCAGGGCAGCGGCGCUGAGGCCGGGUGGGGGCAGCAGGCGGUACCUCUGUAGGAGGCCGGCGAACAGCAGGAACAGCUCCGACCUGGCCAGGCUCUCCCCCACGCAGACACGGCGGCCUGCAGGGACAUGGGGCGCCGGUGGGUCCCGGAGGCUGUGGGGGAAGCCCCGAGGGCGGGGCCCUGAGCUCAGAGGCCCCGGGGACCAGAUCACCGCCGGCGGGGGGCUGCCGGGGCUCCAGGGCCUUGGGCCCCACCCUCCCCAGGCUCUGAGCCUCCCUCCCCGGGAGCCCCGUGGCCCGCCCAAGCCCACCAGCGCCUGUGUCCAUCCAGCACCUCUGUGCCUGGGCCAGGGCGGGCAUCAGGUCUACACGGCCAGCGCCUGAAUGCUAGGGCUCCAGAGCCGGACAGCGAGCUUGCCAGAGUGGCAGUGUGCCCCUUGGGGGGUCGGCGUCCAGGAAGUGGCCGGGGUUGAAAUGGCGGGGCGUCUCCCACUGCGUCUCGUCCAGGAGCACGGAGUUCAGUAGGGCCAGCACGGGUGUGCCCUGUGGGGGCGCCAGGUGAGCGGCGGGGCUGGGGCGACCGUGCACCGGGGCGCGUGGGGCAGCAGCGCGAUGAAGCGCUGCGCAUCGUGCUGCACGUGGGC
rnacentral:lncRNA from 1 species